rnacentral:rRNA from 2 species
GAAUGCUGACAUAAGUAACGAUAAAGCGGGUGAAAAGCCCGCUCGCCGGAAGACCAAGGGUUCCUGUCCAACGUUAAUCGGGGCAGGGUGAGUCGACCCCUAAGGCGAGGCCGAAAGGCGUAGUCGAUGGGAAACGGGUUAAUAUUCCCGUACUUGGUGUUACUGCGAAGGGGGGACGGAGAAGGCUAUGUUGGCCGGGCGACGGUUGUCCCGGUUUAAGCGUGUAGGUGUGUGUUCCAGGUAAAUCCGGUUCACUUUAACACUGAGGCGUGACGACGAGGCACUACGGUGCUGAAGCAACAAAUGCCCUGCUUCCAGGAAAAGCCUCUAAGCAUCAGGUAACAUCAAAUCGUACCCCAAACCGACACAGGUGGUCAGGUAGAGAAUACCAAGGCGCUUGAGAGAACUCGGGUGAAGGAACUAGGCAAAAUGGUGCCGUAACUUCGGGAGAAGGCACGCUGACACGUAGGUGAAGUGAUUUACUCAUGGAGCUGAAGUCAGUCGAAGAUACCAGCUGGCUGCAACUGUUUAUUAAAAACACAGCACUGUGCAAACACGAAAGUGGACGUAUACGGUGUGACGCCUGCCCGGUGCCGGAAGGUUAAUUGAUGGGGUCAGCGCAAGCGAAGCUCCUGAUCGAAGCCCCGGUAAACGGCGGCCGUAACUAUAACGGUCCUAAGGUAGCGAAAUUCCUUGUCGGGUAAGUUCCGACCUGCACGAAUGGCGUAAUGAUGGCCAGGCUGUCUCCACCCGAGACUCAGUGAAAUUGAACUCGCUGUGAAGAUGCAGUGUACCCGCGGCAAGACGGAAAGACCCCGUGAACCUUUACUAUAGCUUGACACUGAACAUUGAGCCUUGAUGUGUAGGAUAGGUGGGAGGCUUUGAAGUGUGGACGCCAGUCUGCAUGGAGCCGACCUUGAAAUACCACCCUUUAAUGUUUGAUGUUCUAACGUGGACCCGUUACCCGGGUUGCGGACAGUGUCUGGUGGGUAGUUUGACUGGGGCGGUCUCCUCCUAAAGAGUAACGGAGGAGCACGAAGGUUGGCUAAUCCUGGUCGGACAUCAGGAGGUUAGUGCAAUGGCAUAAGCCAGCUUGACUGCGAGCGUGACGGCGCGAGCAGGUGCGAAAGCAGGUCAUAGUGAUCCGGUGGUUCUGAAUGGAAGGGCCAUCGCUCAACGGAUAAAAGGUACUCCGGGGAUAACAGGCUGAUACCGCCCAAGAGUUCAUAUCGACGGCGGUGUUUGGCACCUCGAUGUCGGCUCAUCACAUCCUGGGGCUGAAGUAGGUCCCAAGGGUAUGGCUGUUCGCCAUUUAAAGUGGUACGCGAGCUGGGUUUAGAACGUCGUGAGACAGUUCGGUCCCUAUCUGCCGUGGGCGCUGGAGAACUGAGGGGGGCUGCUCCUAGU